GAAUUAGUUAAUAAUGCAUUUUACUCUAUUGAUUUCUCCAUUCUGUUGAUCAUUGAAUAAUUAUCAUCUAAUUGAAUUCUCUAGAGAUAUAAUUGCAUUGACAAUGAGCAGUUAGUUUCCUGUCACAUCUUUUUGUUAUGUAAUACUGAAUUUUAAUAAGUGUUUUAUGUAAAUUUGUAAUGUGAUUGGGAAUUAAGAGACAGGCGGAGACAGGAGUGAAUUUUAAGUAAUACAGAGAUUGAUGAAUGUUCUUAUUUAGGUCAUUGGUAUGUAAUGUUGGAUAAAGCUGGGAUAAAGACAAAAAUAUGAUGUUCCAGACAUAACAUUUUGGAAAUAAAUUCUUGCAAUUACCUUCUUCUACAAGGCCUGAAGGACCUUUUUAAGAAGUGGAUGAAGGGCUUUUAUAUUUGUUGAAAUUUAGGAUUUACACUUUUGGGGAUUGGAAUUUACACUUAUCUGGACUGGAGAAUGGAUGAUUUCAUUUUUUGGGACUGCAGUAUUCAAUGUUUACUUUAUGAGAUGUCAAGAUUAAUUUAUUUUUAGGGAAUCCAGAUUACAACCACUCCCAUCCCUUCUUUCUAUGUAAAUUGUUAAAUUUGAUAAUAAGAUACAUAUUUCAAGAUUCAGUUAUUAUAUACUAAAAUGAGAACAGGAAUUAAUAGAAAAUAAGACAGACCAAAUCAGACUCUAUUGUAAAAAUAAAUAUACAAAAAAGAUUUUAUAGCACAUGGUCCAGAUAGCAUUACCCAGCAUACACAAAUAUCCAGCAAGUUGAAACUUAUUCAACGUAGCUCAAGCUUAUUGAAGGACCUGUUAGCACAUCCAUUGUAAUAUGUACGUAUGAGAUAUUGUCAUCUGACGACUUUCAUUGUCUGUCAUCUCAGGAUAUUCCUGUAAUCUUUAUCAAAUUUUUUCCUUUGUUAAAUUCUAUCAUCAUAAAAUUAAAAAUGAUAAUUUACAUUCAGGACCAGUUUCAUCAAAAAUAAAACCUCCAGGGAAUUAUGCCCCUUUGAAUUUUAAAUAUAAAAAACAAUAUCAUUCUGAGGGCUCUCACAUGUACACCUUCCUUUGAUAUUAAAGUGUAAAAAAAAUUAUGUCAACGAUAAACAUUUUUUAUAUCUUUGAUUAGUGUGAGAAUCUGUGUGAAUGUAUUAUAUAAUUGAUGUACAUGUUAUGUAAAAGAAGCUACCCUGAAUCAAGUUUGUUGACCUCUUGAAUUUCUAAAUCAAAGAGUUUUAUAUAUCUAACAAAUAAUAUUCUUCUGCCUAUCAUAUACAGUAUAAAUAUUAAUAUUGUAGAAUUUUGUCUUACAUUUUUUGCUAAACAACCCAAUUUUAAGCAAAACUUAAGAAAAUGUCAAAUUAGUAUUUUUUUCAAUCUUGUUAUUUUAAAUGUGUAAAAUGAUAACAAUGAUGUUGUCUAAUAAUAAACUCAUCAUAGAUACCAGGAUUAAAAUUUUAUAGUAACAUUAUCUGAACUGGUGAAAAAACAAACUAUGUGUAGAAGUCUGUCAAUUUUAUAUACAUGUUUGAAGCUUUAUUAGUCUAAACCUGUAUGCAUCUUAUAUGAUUGUCUAAUAUAUGUAUGGUGCCAUACUUUCUUUUUUGUGCAUACAAAUAUCAUCUUCUAUUUGUAAAAGUCAGAGUGUUUGAAUUUAUCAUUUAAAUUUUUUAAGAAGGGACAAACAAAUGAAAUAAAUUAUUGCCAUAUUAGGAAAUCUCCAAAUAUGCAUUAAAUAUCAGAUUGCAAGUCUUAUUAUUGUGAUAGCCACCCAGUGGCAUAAUUCACAUUUUUAAACCAAUGCAAUAAUUUAUGAAUUUACAGUAUUUUUUUCAAUUUGCAAAAGGCUUGGUUCAAAUUUUCUUUAAAAUUGCAAACUAAAUAAAGGAUGUUUCUACCAUAUUUUAAAUGAGUGGGUGCUAUUUCUGCAUCUGUAAAUAAAACGACCCUAUCAUUCCCUGUACUCAGUUACUAUGUGUGUGUGUGUGUGUAUUGUUUAUUGUUAAAAUACAUAAAAAUAAGGAAAAAGGGGGAAGGAAAUUAUGUUGGACAAGGUUUGUGAUAUUUUUUAUUAUUGUAAUGAAUCAAUGAAAUGAAUAGUGUAUAUAAUUUAUAAUUAUUGUUGUAUUGUUAUAUAUUUUAAUCAAAUUUAUAUAAAAAAAAGAUAUAAUUAGAAAAUUGGUAAUGAAUUAAAAUAAAAUGAAACAGACAUAUGUAUGUGUUAUUUCAAUUCUAGUAUUGAGACUUUAUAUCAAGCCAUAUUUAUU
rnacentral:lncRNA from 1 species